rnacentral:tRNA from 1 species
GGUUGUGUGGCCGAGCGGUCUAAGGCGCUGGAUUAAGGCUCCAGUGUCUUAGGAGGCGUGGGUUCAAAUCCCACCACUGCCA